rnacentral:rRNA from 1 species
UACGGGGGGAGCAAGCGUUGUUCGGAUUUACUGGGCGUAAAGGGCGCGUAGGCGGCGCAACAAGUCACUUGUGAAAUCUCCGGGCUUAACCCGGAGCGGCCAAGUGAUACUGUCGUGCUAGAGUGCGGAAGGGGCUACUGGAAUUCUCGGUGUAGCGGUGAAAUGCGUAGAUAUCGUGAGGAAGACCAGUGGCGAAGGCGGAUCUCUGGACAGCUCCUGACGCUGAGGCGCGAAGGCUAGGGGAGCAAACGGG